CUUUGGUACUUAGAAGAGGGAAAUUUGGAUGCUGAACAAGACAAUCACAGGGCCAGUGUCCCAGUUUAAAGUCAGAUGAAUGUUGGGUAAAAUUAUAAAAAUAGAAACUGCCUUAGGACAGUAAUAAAAACAUUCAACAUUGUCUUUCAAGGUGACCAGGGUCUCUAUUUCUAAAUGCAGGGUGCUGCGAGGGAAGAACACUGUUAAGUGAGCCAUGUGAGUGAGGGAUUUAUCUCCUGCUUAUGAAACAGUCAGCUCCUUUCUCAGCUUCAAAGAGAACAAAAGUCUGUUUUGUAACAAUUCCCUGGAGGCCUUUAGAGUUUCUACUUAAGAUAUAUUUAAUCCCUCCUGCUAAAAUAUGACUGCCUUCAAGUCUCCCCUCCAAUUCAUAUGGACAGAAAGAUUAAACACUGUAUCAUCAUAACUUCCCCAGCCAUCCAGUCACUCAUACUUAGAAGCUUAGGUGUUACUACCAUUACCCCAUUGCAAGAAUGUGAGUGAUCCAAAGAUUUUUAAAUCCAACAUUGGUAUUCACUGAACUUCCUAAUCUUUAGAAUUCAAAAUGUAAUUUCUGAAAUAAAAAGGAUAUAAUUAGAGCCUUGAAACA
rnacentral:lncRNA from 1 species